UCACACCAGUUUCUUCUAAAGUUGUAUUUGAAGCUAAAAGGAUGGUGCUUCUGUUCUUUGAUUGAUAUUUUAUCCCAGCAUCAUCGGAAACUAACUACUUGAUAUUUUGGUCUGCUAUCUUACCUGUACUUGUCCCUUCAGAUAUAUGGCACUCAUUUUAUUUUAAAAACAAAGUUGAUUUAUUGAGGUUCUGCAGACUAUCUCGGUUUGCAUAUGCUUUUAGUGUCGAAAAUAAUUUAGCCAUGUUUGAAACUGUAGUUUAUAGCUUCAUCUAAAUAUUGAUCUGUUGUGUUAUUGCAGGGAAGAGAUGUGAAAUCCUCAACUUAGGAGGGAGCAUAGACAAGUGUAAGCGGACCCUUUAGCAGGAGAGCAACACAACUGCUAGCUUCCCUUACAGGAGAUGGAUACGAAGUCCUUGGAGGGUCAGAAUACAAAGCUCUACUAGGUGAUGGAGCUGGAGAAGUUGAGUACUUCCAGUCUCUUGACGAACGAAUCAUUAAAAUGAAGGUGUUUUGCUGAUACUCUUCAGUUUGGUUGCUCCAUGAUAAAGCUAAUUGACUUCCUUUUUUAAUUCUCAUGGAGAAAUACAUAUACGUUACUUUCAGUGAUUCCAUGUAGAGUAUUAAGAAGCUGAACAUCUUUCUUUGCAGGGAGUUUCUGAUCCUAUUAAAUGUCAUUGCGGACUGGAGUACAAUGUAGAACUAGGCAGGGAUGCCAUGGGUGCAAGAUGAACUCACUAUAUAGAUGACCACAGGUCCAGUGUGUUUAAAGUAUGCAUAUGCGCGGCUGCCGUAUGUACAGCUUGACAACUCCAUAUAGAGAAACUGGAUAAAGUGCCAGUGCCGCAGGAGCAAAACAGCGCCCCAGAUGAAGCCAACACGGAUGACGAUUAACUUCUCUGACCUUAAUCACAUUAAUGAGUGAACUUUCUUGUAAUCCUUUUUCCUGACACUAUAAGGCAAUGGCUUAGCCUGAUAUUUUGGUAGUUGUGUAAGUUGAAACAUGAUGCUAAGCCGAACAAUUUAUUGUCCUUUUUUCGCAUGAUAUCACAUUUUGGUAGUUGUGAAGCCUAAA